AGAAAGGCAAAGGCCCACCCCCGGGAUGCUGAGCUGCCAGGGCCCAGCUGCUACCUGGGGAGGAGAGGGCGAGUCCUGCCAGGGAGCUGGGGCUGCGCU